GCCAGGUAUAGGGUGGUACAUGCCUGUAUUCUCAGCUACUCAGGAGGCUGAGGCAGAAGGAUUGCUUGAGCCCAGGAGUUCUGAGCUGUAGUACGCUAUGCCAAUCAGGUGUCCGCACUAAGUUCGGCAUCAAUAUGGUGACCUACUGGGAGCAGGGGACCACCAGGUUGCCUAAAGAGCAGUGAACUGGCCCAGGUCAGAAAUAGGGCAGGUCAAAACUCCUGUGCUGAACAAUAGUGGUAUCGCUCCUAUGAAUAGCCACUGCACUCCAGCCUGGCAACAUAGCGAGAUCCCAUCCCU
ensembl:misc_RNA Metazoa_SRP Metazoan signal recognition particle RNA